GGGGAUUUAGCUCAUUGGUAGAGCACUUGCCUAGCAAGCGCAAAGCCCUGGGUUCGGUCCCCAGCUCCG
rnacentral:tRNA from 1 species